rnacentral:rRNA from 1 species
UAGGGAAUCUUCCACAAUGGACGAAAGUCUGAUGGAGCAACGCCGCGUGAGUGAAGAAGGGUUUCGGCUCGUAGAACUCUGUUGUUAAAGAAGAACAUAUCUGAGAGUAACUGUUCAGGUAUUGACGGUAUUUAACCAGAAAGCCACGGCUAACUACGUGCCACCAG